CAUGAAGUCGGAAUUGCUAGUAAUCGCGGAUCAGCAUGCCGCGGUGAAUACGUUCCCGGGCCUUGUACACACCGCCCGUCACACCAUGGGAGCCGGUAAUACCCGAAGUCAGUAGUCCAACCUCGUGAGGACGCUGCCGAAGGUAGGAUUGGCGACUGGAGUGAAGUCGUAACAAGGUAGC
rnacentral:rRNA from 1 species